rnacentral:rRNA from 1 species
AAAACAUGUCUUAUCGAUAAUAAUUUUAAGUCUAAUCUGCCCAAUGAAAAUUAAAUGGCUGCAGUAUCAAUAACUGUACAAAGGUAGCAUAAUAAUUAGUUUUUUAAUUGAAAACUAGAAUGAAAGAUUAAAUGAAAUAUAAACUUUAUAAAUAAAAUAAAAAUUUAAAUUAAAUUUUAAGUUAAAAUUCUUAAAUAUAAUUAAAAGACGAGAAGACCCUUUAGAAUUUUAUAUUAAACAUAAUUAAAUUUAUAAUAUUUUAAAUAUAAAUUAUAAUUAAUAUUUAAUUGGGGUAAUUUUAUAAUUUAAUAAACUUUUAAAUAAUUAUAACAUUAAUUAAUGAAUAUAUAAUCCUAAUUUUUAGUAUUUUAAAAUAAAUUACCUUA